rnacentral:rRNA from 1 species
GACGAACGCUGGCGGCGUGCCUAAUACAUGCAAGUCGAGCGGACCUCUUCGGAGGUCAGCGGCGGACGGGUGAGUAACACGUGGGCAACCUGCCUGUAAGACUGGGAUAACACCGGGAAACCGGUGCUAAUACCGGAUAAUCCUUUUCCUCACAUGAGGGGAAGCUGAAAGACGGUUUCGGCUGUCACUUACAGAUGGGCCCGCGGCGCAUUCGCUAGUUGGUGGGGUAACGGCCCACCAAGGCGACGAUGCGUAGCCGACCUGAGAGGGUGAUCGGCCACACUGGGACUGAGACACGGCCCAGACUCCUACGGGAGGCAGCAGUAGGGAAUCUUCCGCAAUGGACGAAAGUCUGACGGAGCAACGCCGCGUGAGCGAAGAAGGCCUUCGGGUCGUAAAGCUCUGUUGUCAGGGAAGAACACGUACCGGAGUAACUGCCGGUACCUUGACGGUACCUGACCAGAAAGCCACGGCUAACUACGUGCCAGCCGCCGCAGUAAUAC